rnacentral:rRNA from 1 species
AUAUUGGUCAAUGGGCGCAAGCCUGAACCAGCCACGUCGCGUGAAGGAAGACGGCCCUACGGGUUGUAAACUUCUUUUGUAAGGGAAUAGAGUGUAGUAAGUGUCCUAUUUUGCAUGUACCUUACGAAUCAGUAUUGGCUAACUCCGUGCCAUCAGCUGCGGUCAUACGGAGGAUCCGUGCGUUACCCGGAUUUAUUGGGUUUAAAGGGUGCGCAGUCGGGAGAUUAAGUCGGCGGUGAAAUUUUGCAGCUCAACUGUAAAAGUGCCUUCGAAACUGGUUUCCUUGAGUGUGGAUGAAGUAGGCUGAAUUUGUGGUGUAGCGGUGAAAUGCAUAGAUAUCACGAGGAACUCCGAUUGCGCAGGCAGCUUACUAAGCCAUAACUGACGCUCAGGCACGAAGGCGUGGGGAUCAAACAGG